AUCUUGCACAAUGGAGGGAACUCUGAUGCAGCGACGUCGCGUGAACGAUGAAGGCUUUNGAGUCGNANAGUUCUGUCCUAUGGGANGAUAAUGACGGUACCAUAGGAGGAAGCCCCGGCUAACUACGUGCCAGCAGCCGCGGUAAUACGUAGGGGGCGAACGUUGUCCGGAUUUAUUGGGCGUAAAGGGUACGCAGGCGGCCAUGUAAGUCAGAUGUGAAAUCCUAGGGCUUAACCCUAGUUAGCAUUUGAAACUGGUUUACUUGAGUGCAGGAGAGGAGAGCGGAAUUCCUAGUGUAGCGGUGAAAUGCGUAGAUAUUAGGAAGAACACCAGUGGCGAAGGCGGCUCUCUGGACUGUAACUGACGCUGAGGCGCGAAAGCGUGGGUAGCGAACA
rnacentral:rRNA from 1 species